UUCAAUGGACUAUUACUUGGCAACAAAGAGAAAUGAAGUACCAAUACAUGCGACAAAUGGAUAAACCUUGAAAGAAGGCAGCCACAAAAGGCCACAAAAGAUUCCAUUUAUAUGAAAUGUCCAGAAAAGGCAAAUCCAUAGAGAUAUAAAGUAGAUUAAUAGUUGCCUGGAAUUGGAGAUGUUGAGGGAUAUGCGAAGUGACUAUUAGAGUACAGGAUUUCUUUUGGGGAUGAUGAAAAUGGUCUAAAAUUGAUUGUAGUGAUGGUUGUGCAACUUCAUGAAUACCCUAAAAACCAUUGAACAUUAUGCUUUAAAUGGGUGAAUUGUAUGGUAUGUGAUUUAUGUCUCAGUACAGCUGUUUUUGAAAAAUGAGGUAGUACUUCUGCACACACACCAGAAUGGCUAACAUUUUUUUUUUUUUAAACUGGCAAUACCCAGCAUUGGCAAGGAUAUGGAAUAAUGGCAACUCUCAUAUCCUGCUGAUGGGAGUAUAAUUGGUAUCACCAUUUUGGAAGCCUGUUUCAUAUCCCUUCCUAAUUUGAACACAGGCAUACCUUAUGAUCUAGGAUUUCCAUUCAUAGAUAUAUAUCCAACAGAAGAGAUAAGCCCAAAAAUGUUCUUGGCAGCAUUAUUUAUAAUAGCAAAGCCUGGAAACAACCCAAAAGUCUAUCAAUAGUAAAAUGGAUAAAUGAAUUUUGAUGUAGUCAUACAAUAGAAAGUAACAUAGCAAUGGAGAUGAAUGGACUACAAAAGUAUGACUAUCACAAACAUAUUGAGCGAAAGUAGCCAUACACGAUACUUACUGUCUGACUUCAUUUUUAUAAAAUUAAAAAAAACAGGUAAAAUUAAGCUAAAAUUAGAGUUCAAGGGGAUUCAUGCUUAAGUAGGAAAGCUGUAAAGAAAGUAAGAAAAUAAUUACAAUAAAAGGCAAGACAGUGAUGAGUUUUGGGAGUAAGGAAAGCUUACUAAUAGAGAAGAGGCAGGAGGAUGCCUUCCAGGUUGUUGGCAAUGUUAGAUUUUCUUUAUCUGGUGAUGAUUAACUUAUUCAUUAUGUGAUGAUUCAUUGUAAUGUACAUUUUUGUUUUAUGUACUCUUCCAUGUGUGUUUCACAAUAAAAAAUGUUUAAGAAAUAUUUAACGCAGCACAUUUAUCAGUAUAUAUCUUUAUAUGUGUGCAUGUAUAUUGAACCUAAUCAACAGUUAGUGCUCAUUUUGUAAAGCUAGUAUUCUAAGGACUAAUAAUUUAAUUUCUCCUUUAUUGUAGGAAUAUGUUUAUCCAGAAGCCAGAGAUAGACAAUACUUAUUAUUUUUCCAUAAAGGAGCCAAAAAGUCACGUUUUGACCUAGAGAAAUAUAAUCAACUCAAGGAUGCAAUUGCUCAGGCAGAAAUGGACCUUAAGAGACUGAGAGACCCAUUACAAGUACAUCUGCCCCUUCGACAAAUUGGUGAAAAAGAUUGAUCUGCAAAGAGCCUCUGAAUCCUGGCAGAAAGAACACCUGUUUAUAACUCUUGCCUUUUUAAUUAAAGCAUUGCAGGUGGAAGCUGGGAGCCAAGUCAGGGUAGAGGGUUUUUACCUUUAAAAAACAAAAACAAAAAGGAUCUUAGGGAAGAAGGGAAUAUUAAAAUCUAAGGAUCAGGCUUUGUGGAAUAUAAGCUCAAAGGGCUUAGUGAAUAUUGUCUUAAUCAAGCAUCUUAGUUUCUGGAUGAAAAUGAUGCAUUAUGUAGUUGAGAGAUUCAUAAAGAGACAAGGAUGCUGGGGGUGUUCCUUUCUUGCAUCUUCUUGCAGGGUCAGCAAAACAGUAACACACCAGCACCCCACUCAGCUCUAAUUUUUUUUUUUUAAUUUAACUUUUCUUAUUUUUGACAUAGGAGUAAAUAAAUCUACCGGAAAAGCAAAUCCUCAAGAUGUGUGGGUGGCAAACAGAGUCUGAGUCCAUGCCAUUAGCAUUUAUUUUAAAUUGGACCCAGUCUCUGCAAAGUGACCAGGAAUCUCUCCUCUUUAUGCCCCUUUUCUAACUACCCACUCCUGUUGGUUACGCUAAUUUUAUCCAUAUGAGAGUUGGAACCAACUUACGACUGUUUGAUAAUUGACACUUUGGAUUAUCCCGUAAUACCUUCUUCAAUGUCUGUAUAUUCCAGUGCUCUGGAUCAGUAUCUAGGAAUCAUUGGCAACACUGCAUGAGGUUGUUUUGUUUUGUUUUGUUUUGUUUUUUACUAAUUUAAGAGGAGGCAGAAUUUCCCUCCUUUAUUUAACUAUCCUAUUGAUAUUCCCCUCUCCCUCCAUAACUGAAAUCAGAGGGGGAGGGGGGUGUUCAGCUGUAUUACCAAAUCAGGAAGAUGUAAGGUUUACAAAUUGGCUAAAAAUCAUGGCUCUCUAGCCAUUUCAAACCAGAAUAAUUUCAUUGCUGUUAAUCUGCUUGUGUGACAGCAUUCCAGCCCACCCAGAUGGCGCUGCCUUGUCUGGAGACUUUGUUUAUCUUGAAGGACACACACUUCCACACUGUUUGUGAGCCGCACCACCUCCACCACUUCAGUAGUUGUAAAUCAAGUGUGUGGAUCUCAAAGGGUGCAAUUUAUCUUUAUACAGGAAUACAUUUCUAUGGCUUCCUUCAACCUACCCCCUUCACCCUAUUUUUUCUUAUCUUAAAUUGAGAGAAGGAAGAAUUAAUCUUAUACUCUAUCAAAAUAUUUUCUACCAUAUUUCCAGAUGACAUCUGCACUUGAAGAGUCAAAGGAAUCCGUGUCUAAUAUCCUGUUUUUAACUACUGUGGGGGCAGGAUGGAAAGGAUGAUGAGGCUUGCCACACAGCCGAUUGGCUUUUUCUUUCGCAUGAUUCGCCCCUUCUCAUUGUGGCAGGGAGGUUAUUUCUCAUUUUCUUCCUCUUUUGGGGAUCAUUGUGUAUGAAAAGAAACACUUGCGAUGACAAACCCAGAUUCCAGGUGCCUUGCAGAGGUUGAAGGCCCUACAGGACCGCCACUGCUCUGCUCCUGCCACCACCCCUUCCACUGGCAUGACGGAACGAAAGGAUGCAUGUCUCCCCUUCCUUCCAGGCCCCCCAGUUGUUCAACCCCUUCCCUCAUUUAUUUUUCUUAAGUUAUGUGAAUUAUUUUUAAAUCAUCUGUCCUGUUUGUGUGCAGGGUUUUGAAGAAGAAACAGCACAGUGCAAUGAGCAAAUUCUUUCAGGGUGUGUGGGAGGCAAGGGAGGGAAAUGUGGAGGAAAGUCCUUUAAACAAAUAGCAAAAUAUUGAACAUGUGUAAAAUCCUGUAUCAUUUAUGAAAUAUGUAUAAAAAGCAAUGUACCUUCUGGAACAAUAAAUACUUAUUCAAUUUUUGAA